UGUGUGUGUGUGUGUGUGUGUGUGUGUGUGUUGGAGAAUGUGAGCACUCAGCCUUCUGGUAUCCAUGGUGCUGGCGCUUGGCCUUCUCAGGUGGCCUAAAAUAUUCCCCGUUUUUUGUUCCUAUGUACACACACACACACACACACAAACC